UCGAACGGUAACAGGAAGCAGCUUGCUGCUUCGCUGACGAGUGGCGGACGGGUGAGUAAUGUCUGGGAAACUGCCCGAUGGAGGGGGAUAACUACUGGAAACGGUAGCUAAUACCGCAUAACGUCGCAAGACCAAAGAGGGGGACCUUCGGGCCUCUUGCCAUCGGAUGUGCCCAGAUGGGAUUAGCUAGUAGGUGGGGUAACGGCUCACCUAGGCGACGAUCCCUAGCUGGUCUGAGAGGAUGACCAGCCACACUGGAACUGAGACACGGUCCAGACUCCUACGGGAGGCAGCAGUGGGGAAUAUUGCACAAUGGGCGCAAGCCUGAUGCAGCCAUGCCGCGUGUAUGAAGAAGGCCUUCGGGUUGUAAAGUACUUUCAGCGGGGAGGAAGGCGAUGAGGUUAAUAACCUCGUCGAUUGACGUUACCCGCAGAAGAAGCACCGGCUAACUCCGUGCCAGCAGCCGCGGUAAUACGGAGGGUGCAAGCGUUAAUCGGAAUUACUGGGCGUAAAGCGCACGCAGGCGGUCUGUCAAGUCGGAUGUGAAAUCCCCGGGCUCAACCUGGGAACUGCAUUCGAAACUGGCAGGCUUGAGUCUCGUAGAGGGGGGUAGAAUUCCAGGUGUAGCGGUGAAAUGCGUAGAGAUCUAGAGGAAUACCGGUGGUGAAGGCGGCCCCCUGGACGAAGACUGACGCUCAGGUGCGAAAGCGUGGGGAGCAAACAGGAUUAGAUGCCCUGGUAGUCCACGCCGUAAACGAUGUCUACUUGGAGGCUGUUCCCUUGAGGAGUGGCUUCCGGAGCUAACGCGUUAAGUA
rnacentral:rRNA from 1 species